rnacentral:rRNA from 1 species
AAACCAACAGGGAUUGCCUCAGUAACGGCGAGUGAAGCGGCAAAAGCUCAAAUUUGAAAUCUGGCACCUUCGGUGUCCGAGUUGUAAUUUGAAGAAGGUAACUUUGGAGUUGGCUCUUGUCUAUGUUCCUUGGAACAGGACGUCACAGAGGGUGAGAAUCCCGUGCGAUGAGAUGUCCAACUCUAUGUAAAGUGCUUUCGAAGAGUCGAGUUGUUUGGGAAUGCAGCUCUAAGUGGGUGGUAAAUUCCAUCUAAAGCUAAAUAUUGGCGAGAGACCGAUAGCGAACAAGUACAGUGAUGGAAAGAUGAAAAGAACUUUGAAAAGAGAGUGAAAAAGUACGUGAAAUUGUUGAAAGGGAAGGGCUUGAGAUCAGACUUGGUAUUUUGCAAGCCUUACCUUCGUGGUGGGGUCCCCUGCAGUUUACUGGGCCAGCAUCGGUUUGGAUGGUAGGAUAAUGACUUGGGAAUGUGGCUUUGCUUCGGUAAAGUGUUAUAGCCCUUGUUGAUACUACCUGUCUAGACCGAGGACUGCGUCUUUGACUAGGAUGCUGGCAUAAUGAUCUUAAGUCGC